rnacentral:rRNA from 1 species
UACGUAGGGUGCGAGCGUUGUCCGGAAUUACUGGGCGUAAAGAGCUCGUAGGUGGUUUGUCACGUUGUCCGUGAAAACUCACAGCUUAACUGUGGGCGUGCGGGCGAUACGGGCAGACUGGAGUACUGUAGGGGAGACUGGAAUUCCUGGUGUAGCGGUGGAAUGCGCAGAUAUCAGGAGGAACACCGGUGGCGAAGGCGGGUCUCUGGGCAGUAACUGACGCUGAGGCACGAAAGCGUGGGGAGCAAACAGG